UUGAGCCGUAUGCGGGGGAACUCGCACGUGCGGUUCUUAGGCGGGGGGGGGGAGAGCUAGUAGGAACCAUCCUAUCCCAAU
rnacentral:ncRNA from 1 species